UCCUUGGGUACGAGCUGUCGCUGCAGGCUAUCCGCGGGGACCACACAGUGACGAGCCCAUGAGCGCCAGGUCAAUGCUAAAAGUGUCUGCAGAACCCAUGAUGUGAAUUUACUGAAGAGAAAGACUCUCCACCAGGUGGGCUUUCAGCCAGGCAGGCUGUCCUCAGAACCUCUUCCUUCCUUCACAAUUACAAGCAUUCUCAUCCCCACCCCGGCUGGGGCAGCGGAGCUUCUGCCUUGGAGGGAUUCAACUGACCAUUGGUCAACUGAUCACCAACUAUUCCAGCUUUGGACCUGCACCUGGUAACAAACAAACGAACAGAACAAAACAAAACUGGAGUAAAAUAGACCCUCCCCCCAUGGCCAUUGUAAACUCACUGUGAAUUCAUGGAAGAGCUGGAGUUGGCUCUAAGUUUCAAAAUAAAAGCAUUAAAAACCUC
rnacentral:sRNA from 1 species